AGUAGAGAUGGGGUUUCUCCAUGUUGGUCAGGCUGGUCUCAAACUCCUGACCUCAGGUGAUCCACCCAC
rnacentral:miRNA from 1 species